rnacentral:tRNA from 1 species
GAGGAUAUAGCUCAAAUGGUAGAGCGCAUGUUUAGCAUGCAUGUGUUCCCGGGUUCAAUCCCCAGUGCCUCCU